GGGGCGGGAGAAGGGGGUUGGUUCGGGGAAGACUGUGCCGAAGAAAGGGAAGUAAUCUGAAGAAUGGGGAGAGCAGACGCCCAGGGGUCCUUGCUGGAUCUAGAACCUUGGUGAGAAUGAGGUUCCCAAGAGGAAUCAAACACACCGGGGGAAGCGGGCCGACAGAGCGGUGCCAGGAGUGAAGUGACCCAAGCGAGCAGAGAAAUGUGCUUACUGAUAGCGGGGAGACGGGCAGGAGAGAGACAGACAGAAGUCAAGGAAUCGGACGCUGAGGAACCCAGCGGACCAUACAGGAAAAGCAAGGAGAUAACUAGACAGCAUGCUCGGAUGGGAGAAGCAAAGUCAGAGAAGGGAAAAUGAAUGAGAGACCGAGCAGUCAGAAGCAACUAGGGUGACGGACAGACAGCGGUGAGCACGGCGAAAUGAAUAGCGAGAGGGCUCGGACAGGCAGAGCCGAGGACCGCAGAGCGCAGCGCUGGAGAUAAGAGAACAAACACUUGAAAAGGUUAAGUACUUUGUUCAGAAAUACACAACUAAUAAGCUGAAGGACUGGGACCUGAACCUGAGGAGUUUAACUCUGGAGUUACUGCUAAGGACAAACGACCAAGCUUGACAACGCCCGAGAGCAAAGGCAUCCAAGAAGAGUGAACCAACUCACCUAUCUCCAAGAAACCCACUGCCCGAGACCUGAUUUCCUCAGUCAGCAGCCCUGACUUUUCCAGGUAGGUCCAUAUGCUUCAACCCACUUCAUACCCUGGCAGCCGCCGGCCCCGUUUUCCCCUCUCGGAGCCCAGCAUCUCUGAUUGCUCACCCAGAACAGCAACAUGAGCCUUGGUUGAAUCGGGAACAACAUCCGCGGGGACCUCCAGGGAGAUGGAUUCUCUCACCACUUUUCCUGUGAGAGACAGAGAAAAGGUGAAACAAGAGAAGGCGGAAACAGUGGCGGUUCUCAAGCCCAAAUCAUGGUAAAACUUGUCAUAAUCUAGAUUUUCCAUCCCCAGUGCUUUCUGUGGGAUAGAGGCAGGUUUUUUGACCCUAUUUAUAGUGGUCUUCCCUAAAAAUAAAUUC